UACCAGCUCUCCGAGUAGUGUGGAUGUUUAUUGGGCCUAAAGCAUCCGUAGCUUGCUAAGCAAGUCCCCUGUUAAAUCCACCGAUUCAAUCGGUGGAUUGCGGGGGAUACUGUUUGGCUAGGGGACGGGAGAGGCCGACGGUAUUUCCGGGGUAGGGGUGAAAUCCUAUAAUCCCGGGAAGACCACCAGUGGCGAAGGCUGUCGGCUAGAACGCGCCCGACGGUGAGGGAUGAAAGCUGGGGGAGCGAACCGGAUUAGAUACCCGGGUAGUCCCAGCUGUAAACGAUGCAGGCUAGGUGUUUGGGCGGCCACGAGCCGCUCUAGUGCCGCAGGGAAGCUGUUAAGCCUGCCGCCUGGGGAGUACGGCCGCAAGGCUGAAACUUAAAGGAAUUGGCGGGGGAGCACCACAAGGGGUGAAGCUUGCGGUUU
rnacentral:rRNA from 1 species